CGCACAUUGCGCCCCUUGGUAUUCCAGGGGGCAUGCCUGUUCGAGCGUCAUUAUCACCCUUCAAGCUCAGCUUGGUGUUGGGGCAUGCUGUAACCGGCAGCCCCUAAAAUCAGUGGCGGUGCCGUUAGGCUCUAAGCGUGGUAAAUCUAUCGCUAUAGGGUCCUGACGUUACCUGCCAGAACCCCCCAUUUUUAAUGAUUGACCUCGAAUCAGGUAGGGAUACCCGCUGAACUUAA
rnacentral:misc_RNA from 1 species